GUACAUUAGUGCUUGCGCACGACAAUAGUUCUCAUUACAUUCGAGUGUGUUAUAAAAAUCCUCUGCCAGCCGAAGCUAGCAAGAGGCCAAAGGUUCACAUGGGUAUUGGAUGAAAGCCACCGCCGUGCACUUGCCAGUUCUGGCCAGCACAGACGGCAACCAUUCGUAAUCAUUAAUGAUCCUUCCGCAGGUUCACCUACGGAAA
rnacentral:misc_RNA from 1 species